GUUGAUUGCAGCAGAGUCCGAUGUAAGCAUGUUGCUAAGUUAACUUGCUACUUUAAAAAGCACAAAUAUUGGGUGAAAUAAUUUUUUUUAUUCGAUUUUAGGUUUUACUUUUUAGUAUUAAAUAAAAUUUAUGUUUAUAAUCAUUAUUUCCCCCUGUCUUUCAGCUCGUUGCAGUGCAUUCUGGGAUUGCCUUACUCAGGAAGGACACCAGAUUCUGGCCAAAACAAGGGCUUUAUUCCACCUCAGUUCUACAUGUGACCUCAUCUGACAGUGCUCUAGAUGGCAAAUUGGCUCUGAUAGACAGAUAGUCUGGCCUUUUUCUGAGAGACCUCGCCAAAUGGCCCCAACUGCCUUAAUGACACAUAAUGGCUGGAGCUAAAGGACGGCUGCUGGGGGAACGUCCUAGGCUCAUUACUCAAGUGCUGGGGGGGGGGUCUCUUCAGCGCCAGCAGCUGAAGGACAUGGCCUCUCCCACAGGAGCUAUUACCCAGAGUCCCUCCACACUGAUGUCAUCCUGUGUAACGCAACGCUGAAGCUGUUCACUCCCCCCAUCUGUAUGCAGUGACAUUCAUGUGAAAUAAGCAUCCAAUGAGAGCCACUUGAUUUUAGGAAUACCAUCAGAGGCUUGUCACCUGCUUUGUACAACUGGGCAGGCUUUGGUGACUGCCAAUGUAGUCUUUGCACAUUUACACAUUAAAUUAAGAUCAUGUUUCCAGUUUUCUUUCGGUGCGAUGUCAGAGGUUCUUGCUGUGAAUUAUCACAUGAUCUUUAAGAGUCGUUCUGGGUAAUCAGUCCCUGACAAAACCGCAUAAGUUUGAGUUAACUGUUUAUUGACCAGCUGGUGAAGGUUUGGCAUAGUCAUUACAUUGCAUAACAGGGACUGAGCAAAAGUAUAGACAAAGUAUAGACGUAUUAGUAUUAUGUGAUUUCUAUGGCAAGCAUUACUGUAACAUCGGUCACAUUUUCUGAAGAAAAUAAAUCAAGACACAUUAGCAAGCACCCAGAAAAACAGAAAAUAAAAGAAAGAGAAAGAACAAUAUUAACAUUUCAACAGAAAGAUAAAAAUCUGUUUUCAAUAUAACAAAGCUUUAUUGAAAAUACAUAAUUUUGAAAUACAUACGCAGUGGAAAGCUUUAUUGAAAAUACAUAAUUUUGAAAUACAUACGCAGUGGAAAGCUUUAUUGAAAAUACAUAAUUUUGAAAUACAUACGCACUGGAAAUUUUAACUCAUCAAGCUUUCUAGUGAUUUCACACGAGGAUGCCAUUGGAUCAGUUUUGUCAAUAAGAUUAUUGUAGCCAAGGUCAAAAUAUUCAUGGAGAAAUCUGAUCUUAGAUCAGCACUAUGAUGCGGUUUCAGUGGCGGGACUCUGGUAGGGCACAGCAGAACAUCUACGGGCACAUCUAUACGGUGAAGUGGCAUCCUUUAAAUCGCUUUAGAUACAAGUAUCUGCCAAGUCCAUAGUUAAGGUUAGUGAUCAAAAAAAAAAAACACACUCAGAACUUAGCAGCUGCAUAGCAAUGACCUGAUAACAUCUCAUAACAUUCAAGGAACUACUUGUAACUUUGCACUUCCAACCACCUAAAAUACUACAAUAUAGGAGUUUCCUUCCUAUACUAUUACCCAGUGUUCUGGCUGAGGCCAUCACUUUAGGAAAUCUUCUAUUCUGUGAAAGGAGGAUACUUUCAGACUGUAUUUCCCUGUGUGUGUACAUCUGCUGCUGGAACUAGCAUUUGUUUUACAGUGUGAGGCAGUAUCCUGUUGCCUUUGUUUUGUUUGAGUCACACACACACACACACGCACACACACACACUUGUGGAUCCCUCAGGAGUGUGUGCACUCCUCUGACCCACAUCUCCAUGGGUUGUCCUCAUUGUUUGUGAUGGUGUGUGUGAGUAAUAAAGCCGCUGGAG